CCUACCACUCUUACUCCAGCACUUUACAGACCAGACCUGCCACCUGCCAUGAAUGAGUAUCUGGGCUCCCCCCACCCCCCAGCCCUGGGCUCCAUCCUAAACUCCUUUCUAUACUUUACAUGCUUUCCUCUCGGGGACCUCAGUCACUCCCAUGGCUUCAAUUACCUCUUAUGUGCUGAUAACUCACAAAAGGCACCCCAAAUCCUACCCACUUUUUGAGCACCAGACCGCUGAGUCCCACUGUCAGGCGGCUCUCUCCACCUAGACGCCUUGUUCUCCGCAGAUGUGGUGGCUUCCUGGCUUAACCUCCCAUCCCUCAGCCCUGACUCUCCAGACAUACCAAACCUUCAUUCCCUGGCAGACGCGUCAAGUCCUGUUUCACUUUUCCCCUGACUGGUCUUCAUCUGCUGAGAUGUGACCAUGAAUUCUGGCAGAUUCUUCUGUGACAAAGUACAAAGACCGUCACCAGGGUCCAAGGACACUGAUACCGAGA